rnacentral:rRNA from 1 species
GACGAACGCUGGCGGCGUGCUUAACACAUGCGAGUCGAACGGAAAGGCCCUGCUUUUGUGGGGUGCUCGAGUGGCGAACGGGUGAGUAACACGUGAGUAACCUGCCCUUGACUUUGGGAUAACUUCAGGAAACUGGGGCUAAUACCGGAUAGGAGCUCCUGCUGCCUGGUGGGGGUUGGAAAGUUUCGGCGGUUGGAGAUGGACUCGCGGCUUAUCAGCUUGUUGGUGGGGUAGUGGCUUACCAAGGCUUUGACGGGUAGCCGGCCUGAGAGGGUGACCGGCCACAUUGGGACUGAGAUACGGCCCAGACUCCUACGGGAGGCAGCAGUGGGGAAGAUUGCACGAUGGGCGGAAGCCUGAUGCAGCAACGCCGCGUGCGGGAUGACGGCCUUCGGGUUGUAAACCGCUUUCGCCUGUGACGAAGCGUGAGUGACGGUAAUGGAUAAAGAAGCACCGGCUAACUACGUG